UACGUAGGGGGCAAGCGUUGUCCGGAAUUAUUGGGCGUAAAGAGCGCGUAGGCGGUCCGAUAAGUCGGCUGUGAAAGUCAAGGGCUCAACCCUUGAAAGCCGGCCGAUACUGUCGGACUAGAGUCCGGAAGAGGCGAGUGGAAUUCCCGGUGUAGCGGUGAAAUGCGCAGAUAUCGGGAGGAACACCGGUGGCGAAGGCGGCAUCCUGGACCGGCAUUGACGCUGAAUAGCGAAAGCCAGGGGAGCAAACGGG
rnacentral:rRNA from 1 species